GUUCGCUGCCGCAUAGGCAGCUCAGAAA
rfam:Rhodanobacter sp. SCN 67-45 ABS82_C0121, whole genome shotgun sequence.